CCCUUAGAUGUUCUGGGCCGCACGCGCGCUACACUGACUACUUCAACGAGUUGUUUCCUUGAUCGAAAGGUCUGGGUAAUCUUUGAACGCUGUUCGUGAUUGGGAUAGACCUUUGCAAUUAUGGGUCUUCAACGAGGAAUUCCUAGUAAACGCAAGUCAUCAGCUUGCAUUGAUUACGUCCCUGCCCUUUGUACACACCGCCCGUCGCACCUACCGAUUGAAUGGUCCGGUGAAAUCUCGGGACGGCGGCUUGGUCGCUUGCGUCCGACUGCUGAAACUUGAUUAAACCAUAUCAUUUAGAGGAAGGUGAANUCGUANCA
rnacentral:rRNA from 1 species